rnacentral:rRNA from 1 species
AUUGAACGCUGGCGGCAUGCCUUACACAUGCAAGUCGAACGGCAGCACGGGAGCAAUCCUGGUGGCGAGUGGCGAACGGGUGAGUAAUAUAUCGGAACGUGCCCAGUGAUGGGGGAUAGCCCGGCGAAAGCCGGAUUAAUACCGCAUACGACCUACGGGUGAAAGCAGGGGAUCGCAAGACCUUGCGUCAUUGGAGCGGCCGAUAUCAGAUUAGCUUGNGGUGGGGUAAAGCCUACCAAGGCGACGAUCUGUAGCUGGUCUGAGAGGACGACCAGCCACACUGGGACUGAGACACGGCCCAGACUCCUACGGGAGGCAGCAGUGGGGAAUUUUGGACAAUGGGCGCAAGCCUGAUCCAGCCAUGCCGCGUGC